rnacentral:rRNA from 1 species
AUUGAACGCUGGCGGCAGGCCUAACACAUGCAAGUCGAGCGGAUGAAGGGAGCUUGCUCCUGGAUUCAGCGGCGGACGGGUGAGUAAUGCCAAGGAAUCUGCCUGGUAGUGGGGGAUAACGUCCGGAAACGGGCGCUAAUACCGCAUACGUCCUGAGGGAGAAAGUGGGGGAUCUUCGGACCUCACGCUAUCAGAUGAGCCUAGGUCGGAUUGGCUAGUUGGUGGGGUAAAGGCCUACCAAGGCGACGGUCCGUAACUGGUCUGAGAGGAUGGUCGGUCACACUGGAACUGAGACACGGUCCAGGCUCCUACGGGAGGCAGCAGUGGGGAAUAUUGGACGAUGGGCGAAAGCCUGAUCCAGCCAUGCCGCGUGUGUGAAGAAGGUCUUCGGAUUGUAAAGCACUUUAAGUUGGGAGGAAGGGCAGUAAGUUAAUACCUUGCUGUUUUGACGUUACCAACAGAAUAAGCACCGGCUAACUUCGUG